CCUACGAGGAGCAGCAGUGUGGAAUAUUGGACAAUGGGGGAACCCCUGAUCCAGCGACGCCGCGUGAGUGAAGAAGAAUUUCGGUACGUAAAGCUCUAUCAGCAGGAAAGAAAAUGACGGUACCUGACUAAGAAGCCCCGGCUAACUACGUGCCAGCAGCCGCGGUACUACGUAGGGGGCAAGCGUGAUCCGGAUUUACUGGGUGUAAAGGGAGCGUAUACGGCAGCGCAAGUCUGGAGUGAAAUGCCGGGGCACAACCCCGGAACUGCUCUGGAAACUGUGAAGCUGGAGUGAAGGAGAGGUGAGCGGAAUUCCUGGGGUAGCGGUGAAAUGCGUAGAUAUCAGGAGUAACACCGGCGGCGAAGGCGGCUUACUGGACUGUAACUGACGUUGAGGCUCGAAGGCGUGGGGAGCAAACAGGAUUAGAUACCCUUGUAGUC
rnacentral:rRNA from 1 species